AUUGUCAGAUUCAAGCCUACCAGUAUGUUUUUUAAAGCCUUAUUUCCUAGAGGUUGGAUCGUCCAGCAUGGAAAAGACAUACUUGCUCUCAGUUACCUCAGACUGGAAGGGACAUGUGACAUUCAUUCAUAGACUAGUGCCAGAGACAGAACUCAGGUCGUCUGGAUUGGCAGCAAUUUACUACUUGGCACCUCUACCUACUGAGUCGUCUCACAAGCCUGAGCACAUUCGUCAGUCAAACGCAGUUAGUUUCGGUGUUCCCCCUCUGGUUGGGGAGGAAGAGAUGGUGGUGUUCCGAAGACGAAGACGCAGCAGGGUGCUCAGAGAACACAGCAGCGCUCAGCCAAAGAGUGACAAGGGGUGAAGUGGGAAGCUUCUGUAAGACUUUUGAACUUGGAAGUAGCUUUGCUAGGCAUGAUGGGUAAUGCUGACUGCCAACU
rnacentral:lncRNA from 1 species